rnacentral:rRNA from 1 species
CCUACGGGAGGCAGCAGUAAGGAAUAUUGGUCAAUGGACGCAAGUCUGAACCAGCCAUGCCGCGUGAAGGAUUAAGGUCCUCUGGAUUGUAAACUUCUUUUAUCUGGGACGAAAAAAGGCGAUUCUUCGUCACUUGACGGUACCAGAUGAAUAAGCACCGGCUAACUCCGUGCCAGCAGCCGCGGUAAUACGGAGGGUGCAAGCGUUAUCCGGAUUCACUGGGUUUAAAGGGUGCGUAGGCGGGCAGGUAAGUCAGUGGUGAAAUCCUAGAGCUUAACUCUAGAACUGCCAUUGAUACUAUCUGACUUGAAUAUUGUGGAGGUAAGCGGAAUAUGUCAUGUAGCGGUGAAAUGCUUAGAUAUGACAUAGAACACCUAUUGCGAAGGCAGCUUACUACGCAUAUAUUGACGCUGAGGCACGAAAGCGUGGGGAUCAAACAGGAUUAGAUACCCUGGUAGUCCACGCCCUAAACGAUGAUUACUCGACAUUUGUGAUACACUAUAAGUGUCUGAGCGAAAGCAUUAAGAAUCCACCUGGAAGUACGACCGCAAGUUGAAACUCAAAGGAAUUAGACGG